rnacentral:tRNA from 1 species
UGAGAAUUAGUUAAAAUAUAACAUAAGUUUGUCGUACUUAAAUUAUCUAUUUAAGAUAUUUUCAA